CAGAGGAAGAAGUUUUGAUGCUCCCCUUACACUCUUAACAAAAACCAGGUCAUGUCCUUGGUGAAUGUGUUCCCAAUAUAAAAUGGAAAUGUUCACAGUAAUAUGUAGCUAUAUUUGAAGCACUGAAUGGGACUUGCAGAUUGGGGGCUGCACAGACCCAGUGGGAUCUGUAGCUUCUGGGAGCUGCAAAUGUAGAACAGCAAGAGAGAUGGCCUAAUGGUUUGGGAUGGAAGAUCAUCUUGUUCCAAUUCGCCAGCCAUGGGCAGAGAACCUUUCACUACAGGACAAGUCAUACUACCAAUUCUCUUAGAAUAAACCACAUAACAUUGAUGAAGCAGCAGACCAAAUGGAGGAAGCUCUCCUGUCAGACCGGCUUUCAAAUUAAUGAGAGAAGGAAAUCAGUGCUUCAUGACAAUACACUGGGUGCUGCUAACUGUUCAGGAAAUUGUUCUGGUUUGUCCUUACUCUGGUGCUGACUCACUCUUGCUCCUUGAGCCCAUCACUGCAGACGUCUCAGGAUUAUUCAAUUCCUUUAGACAUCUCUAUGACUAAAGUUUGAUUAAAGUUUGCAGACAACUGAUAUUCAGAGCUUCUAAUUGAUGGUCCAGAAAAGAAGUAAUUUUAAAUAGUCUUGUGCCUCUAAAAAUUGUGAU